AGUCCCACAGGUUAACCCCACAGCUUUUCCAGCCUAGCUGUGCCCGGUCUCCCCUGUCUAUGAUGGCCCUGGGCCAGGGCUCCAAGAUGGGGGCAGCCGGGCUCUAUCUCUCCUGCUUGGCAACUGUCUUGCUGGCUGUAUGUGCUGCCACUGAGUCCUGGCUCCGGCUCUGGGUCCUGGGCAUCGUCAUUCACCGCGGGCUGUGGCAGGAGUGUCAGCUGGGGACCUGCACCCCCCUCCAGGGCCAGCGAGCAUAUGUGGGAGUGUCGAGGGGAUGCCUGGUUCCAGCCGUCCUGACCUCGUACCUCUCCGUGCUGUGUGGGGCCCUGGCACUCACUCCCUGCCCAGCCCCCAAGGGGCUUGAUUGGGCCCGGGGGGCUGCUGCCCUCUGCUUUCUCACAGGUGCCUUGGCCACGCUGGCUCUGGGCAGUUUCAUGGUUGGCUCAGCCAGGGAAGCGGGUGG